AGACGCUGCGUGUUGUGCGUGGCCUGGCGUCCAUAUUGAGUAGAAGGAGAGGGUCUCUGGUUCCUUCAGGACCUGCUUGAGGAGGCACCACAGCGGCGUGGGGAUGACUUGGAGACUCGUCCUGGGGAGGAAACAGCUCCUGUCUGUGGCCCUGACUGCUUAGGCGGGGGCUGCGAGCUACUCAGCUUCUCCCAGGCAUUUUUUCUACAUGGUGCAACCCUGUGGUUCCCCACGAUAGGAUUUCAUUGUGGUUUUCUGUCUGAAGAGUAUCCCGGUGUGUACAUGUGGAGCAGCUUCUUUAUCCCUUCUUCUGUGGACAAGCAGUACUGGGCGGAGGACCUGAAGACAUGAGGUUGAUGCACAGGUCACAGAGAAGAUACUCACCAUCGCUGAUUCACACAAAAGCGUUUCUCCAAGUGGUUGCAGAUGACAUGAUUUCCUGAAGUGUUACAGCUGAUGUGUGUUUCCUUGUGUAUAUGUACUGUGGUUCCUUUAUCCCUUCAUCUGUGGAUAGACAGGUGCAACCGUGUGGUUCCCCAUGAUAUGAUUUCAUUGUGGUUUUCUGUCUGAAGAGUAUCCCAGUGGGAACAUGUGGAACAGCUUCUUUCUUCCUUCGUCUGUGGAUAAGCAGGUAGGUUGAUGCUUACACUGGCUCUUGGGAACAGUGCUGGAAUCCACAUGGGUGGGUAGAUCUAUCUUUGGUGUCCUGAUUUCAAUGACUUUGAGUGUAUUCCUAGUAGUAGAAUUGCUGGUUGAAGUGGUAGUUGGAGUCUUUUAAGGUUUAGAGGAACCUCCAAGUGGUUUCUGUAUCGUGUGUGCUAGUUUACCUUCUCACGAACUGUGGAGAAGAGUGUCUCUCUCUCUCUGGAAACACACCAGCAUUUCCCUUUCCUUCAAUGUUUUUUGUCUUUUUUUGUAACACUCAUUCCAAUUAGAAUGAGAUGGUGUCUUAAGUGUGGUUUUGAUUUACAUUUUGCUUGUGGUUAGUGAUGUUUGCCAGGUUAGUGUGAACUUGUUUCAAUUUGUUGUGUAAGACUGGGCAAUGGACCUGAAGACCUGAGAUGAAUGCACAGGUUAAAGAUUCUGAAUCAACAUUACUGAUCCUCACGAGAAGUCAAUCAAAACCACACUGAGAUAGCAUCUGUCUCUGGUGAGAAUGAAUGUUACCAAACUGGGACAGCAGUUUCAUUGUCGUAUAGUCUGUGUGUAUAACCAGCGACUGCAAGGCACAGUUUGAUCUGUGUAAACGUAGCAUCAUCAUGAAGUCGCAGUGUCUGGCAUCUCUGUGAGCUCCAGACUUAUGAUUUCUCUGUGGAGAGAAUAUUCACAACUGACCUUUGUGGCUGUUUUGAAAAUUGUGGUUUUUUGUUCUUGCCUUUUGGCAUAAUGGCCUACGGCUCUGUCCAGGUUUCUGGUAAGGGCAUGGAUUUGUUUUUUAUGGCUGUGUAGUGUUCCGUGCCAUGUCUUUACCAUUGUGAGUAGUACUUCCGUGAACAUACGAGUGCAUGCGUGUUUUCGAUGGAAGGGUUUUCCUUUGGGUAGAUCCUUAGGAGUGGGGUUACAGCAUUGGGUGGUUAUUCUCUUUUAAGUUCUUUCAGAAAUGUCCACACUGCUCUCCAGGGUGUCUGAACUAGUUUCCAUUUCCCCCUACAGUGAACCUGCAUUUCUUUGCUCAUCUGCCCCACCAGCCUCUGUUGUUGUGGACUGUGUGUCAUAAUUGUCAUUCUGACUAGUGUGACGUAGUAUUGCAGUAUGUUUUUGAUGUGCAUUUAUCUGAUGAUCAGUGAGAUUGAGCAUCUUUUCAUUCUCAUUGGUUACUGGUACACCUCCUUUUAAGUGUGUGUUCAUGUCCCUUGCCCAUUUAUAAUUUGGGGUUUUUUUUUCUGAUUUUAUUUGUUGAAGGUCUUUACGAUAAAUCCUGGAUAUUAGAUGUUUUUCACAUGCGUAGUUGUGGAAUAUUUUCCCUCAUUCUAUAGGCUGUGUGUUGACUCUUUUGGUUGUUUCUUGUUCUGUGCAGCUGCUUUUCUGUGUAUUAGGUCCCAUUUAUCAGUAAUUGCUCUUGGGGAGUUGACACUUAAAUGCUUUGCCAAAGCCUAUGUUGAGAAUGGUAUUUGCUAGAUUCUCACGCAGGAUUUUCUCAUAGUUUCAGGCUUUGAAUUUUUAUGUAU